GUCGUAACAAGGUUUCCGUAGGUGAACCUGCGGAAGGAUCAUUACCACACCAAAAAACACUAUCCACGUGAACGUAUUCUGUAUGAGGUUUGUGCGUUGUUCUCUUCGGAGAGCUCCUGCUAGCUGAAGGCGUCUCUUUCGGGAGAUAUGCCGAGGUCCUUUUAAAACCAUAACCCAAUGACUGAAACUUUAUUGGCAGACAGAAAUGUUUGCUCUUAACGAGAUACAACUUUCAACAGUGGAUGUCUCGGCUGGC
rnacentral:misc_RNA from 1 species